GCAGCCAAAACGUAGAAGUAUCGGUCAAAACGUCAAUAAAAGGCAAAAUAUGUCGCACAAACUUUCCAAACUCAAGAAGUCGGAUUGUUUUUACCCCUUAAAUCUUCAUCACCGAGGAAGAGGAGGAGGAGGAAGAAAACCGUGGAGCCGAUUAUGGGGUGCCAGUUACUGGAGGAAGUGGAACAUCCCAGCUGCUGACGUGCUGAUGAAUGUUUUCGUAUGUGACUGACCUAGGGAGGACACAUGUCAGAAGGGGACAGGAGCGCUGUGCACGAUUGUCAUGGCAACAACGGUGGGAAGACAAGAUGGAGGAGUCAUAGCUGGCCUGGCCUCCUUUACAGGAGAAGAUCGUAUGUGUGAAAACGCCAGAUGUUAUCUUUAAAAUUUCAUUGCAAGAUUAAAAAGAUUCCAAGACUAGAGAAGCUUCAGAUGUUGAGGACCACAGAAUUGUUGAGAGACCCAUUUGACGGGCAAUCCAAAAACCAAAAUGUGUCUCAUGUGUUCAUUUCAGCUGCACUGUUGUGCCAUCGCAGGGAGCAUUAAGGUAAUGGCAGAAUGCACCUCAGCCUUUUGCACACGCUCUGUGACAAAACACAUUUGAAUUUUUUCCUUGUGAAGCUUCUGAACUCGCUGUGUACCGAUCUGAGAUUAGCCACAAGCAAAAUACUCUGACACUGUUCAGUUCAGUGCGAUGCUGUCUCCUGGGACAAACUGCUGAACAAGUGUAGUCUUACAAAAAUAUUUUUACCAUUGUCAUUCACAUCUAAGAAUACAGUCAACU